GCGAGUAAUGUCGGGAACUCCAGGGAGACUGCCGGUGAUAAACCGGAGGAAGGUGGGGACGACGUCAAGUCAUCAUGGCCCUUACGAGUAGGGCUACACACGUGCUACAAUGGCGCAUACAGAGGGCAGCCAACUUGCGAAAGUGAGCGAAUCCCAAAAAGUGCGUCGUAGUCCGGAUUGGAGUCUGCAACUCGACUCCAUGAAGUCGGAAUCGCUAGUAAUCGUGGAUCAGAAUGCCACGGUGAAUACGUUCCCGGGCCUUGUACACACCGCCCGUCACAC
rnacentral:rRNA from 1 species